AGACCCGAAACCCGGUGAUCUAGCCAUGGGCAGGUUGAAGGUUGGGUAACACUAACUGGAGGACCGAACCGACUAAUGUUGAAAAAUUAGCGGAUGACCUGUGGCUGGGGGUGAAAGGCCAAUCAAACCGGGAGAUAGCUGGUUCUCCCCGAAAGCUAUUUAGGUAGCGCCUCGUGAAUUCAUCUCCGGGGGUAGAGCACUGUUUCGGCUAGGGGGCCAUCCCGGCUUACCAACCCGAUGCAAACUGCGAAUACCGGAGAAUGUUAUCACGGGAGACACACGGCGGGUGCUAACGUCCGUCGUGAAGAGGGAAACAACCCAGACCGCCAGCUAAGGUCCCAAAGUCAUGGUUAAGUGGGAAACGAUGUGGGAAGGCCCAGACAGCCAGGAUGUUGGCUUAGAAGCAGCCAUCAUUUAAAGAAAGCGUAAUAGCUCACUGGUCGAGUCGGCCUGCGCGGAAGAUGUAACGGGGCUAAACCAUGCACCGAAGCUGCGGCAGCAACACUUAAGUGUUGUUGGGUAGGGGAGCGUUCUGUAAGCCGUUGAAGGUGU
rnacentral:rRNA from 1 species